UGUGGGAGCGAGCUUGCUCGCGAUGAGGUCGGCACAUUCAACAUCUCGGUUGACUGUUGCUCCGUCAUCGCGAGCAAGCUCGCUCCCACA
rnacentral:misc_RNA from 1 species